ACUUGCUGUCGAGUUCAGAAGCCUCCUGGCAGACACUGGAGCCACGAUGAAGCCCCCAAGGCCUGUCCGUACCUGCAGCAAAGUUCUCGUCCUGCUUUCACUGCUGGCCAUCCACCAGACCACUACUGCCGAAAAGGAUCAUCGAUGGCAUGACCUACCCAGGGAUCAUCAAGGAGAAGGCUGAAGCCCAGGCACAGUACAGCACAGCAGUGGCCAAGGGAAAGAGCGCUGGCCUCGUCAAGGCCACCGGGAGAAACAUGGAGCAGUUCCAGGUGUCGGUCAGUGUGGCUCCCAAUGCCAAGAUCACCUUUGAGCUGGUCUAUGAGGAGCUGCUCAAGCGGCGUUUGGGGGUGUACGAGCUGCUGCUGAAAGUGCGGCCCCAGCAGCUGGUCAAGCACCUGCAGAUGGACAUUCACAUCUUCGAGCCCCAGGGCAUCAGCUUUCUGGAGACAGAGAGCACCUUCAUGACCAACCAGCUGGUAGACGCCCUCACCACCUGGCAGAAUAAGACCAAGGCUCACAUCCGGUUCAAGCCAACAGUUUCCCAGCAGCAAAAGUCCCCAGAGCAGCAAGAAACAGUCCUGGACGGCAACCUCAUUAUCCGCUAUGAUGUGGACCGGGCCGUCUCCGGGGGCUCCAUUCAGAUCGAGAACGGCUACUUUGUACACUACUUUGCCCCCGAGGGCCUAACCACAAUGCCCAAGAAUGUGGUCUUUGUCAUUGACAAGAGUGGCUCCAUGAGUGGCAGGAAAAUCCAGCAGACCCGGGAAGCCCUAAUCAAGAUCCUGGAUGACCUCAGCCCCAGAGACCAGUUCAACCUCAUCGUCUUCAGUACAGAAGCAAGUCAGUGGAGACCAUCACUGGUGCCAGCCUCAGCCGAGAACGUGAACAAGGCCAGGAGCUUUGCUGCGGGCAUCCAGGCCCUGGGAGGGACCAACAUCAAUGAUGCAAUGCUGAUGGCCGUGCAGUUGCUGGACAGCAGCAACCAGGAGGAGCAGCUGCCCGAAGGGAGUGUCUCACUCAUCAUCCUGCUCACCGAUGGCGACCCCACUGUGGGGGAGACUAACCCCAGGAGCAUCCAGAAUAACGUGCGGGAAGCUGUAAGUGGCCGGUACAGCCUCUUCUGCCUGGGCUUCGGUUUCGACGUCAGCUAUGCCUUCCUGGAGAAGCUGGCACUGGACAAUGGCGGCCUGGCCCGGCGCAUCCAUGAGGACUCAGACUCCGCCCUGCAGCUCCAGGACUUCUACCAGGAAGUGGCCAACCCACUGCUGACAGCAGUGACCUUCGAGUACCCAAGCAAUGCCGUGGAGGAGGUCACUCAGAACAACUUCCGGCUCCUCUUCAAGGGCUCAGAGAUGGUGGUGGCUGGGAAGCUCCAGGACCGGGGGCCUGAUGUGCUCACAGCCACAGUCAGUGGGAAGCUGCCUACACAGAACAUCACUUUCCAAACGGAGUCCAGUGUGGCAGAGCAGGAGGCGGAGUUCCAGAGCCCCAAGUAUAUCUUCCGCAACUUCAUGGAAAGGCUCUGGGCAUACCUGACUAUCCAGCAGCUGCUGGAGCAAACUGUCUCCGCAUCCGAUGCUGAUCAGCAGGCCCUCCGGAACCAAGCGCUGAAUUUAUCACUUGCCUACAGCUUUGUCACGCCUCUCACAUCUAUGGUAGUCACCAAACCCGAUGACCAAGAGCAGUCUCAAGUUGCUGAGAAGCCCAUGGAAGGCGAAAGUAGAAACAGGAAUGUCCACUCAGGUUCCACUUUCUUCAAAUAUUAUCUCCAGGGAGCAAAAAUACCAAAACCAGGUGACAAAGUAGGAGGUGGGGGGAGGGGAGAUUGACAGAUUGGGCUCAGUCCUGGCUGUGGAGGGUAGUGCCUUGCCCAGCUCCUCUGGCUGGUGACAGCCCUCGGGCCUCAGUUCAGUUGUAUCUGAUCAGGACUUGACCACACAGAGGCUUCCUUUUCUCCAAGAAGAGGAUGGAAUAGACAAGCUGGAGCUGCUGGCUCCCGGAUGAAUUUCAGACCUGGGGUUCUCAGCUCCAGGCAACUUGGACUCCCAGGACCUCCUGAUGUUCCUGACCAUGCUGCUUACCACCCCUUCCGCCGUCUGGCCAUCUUGCCUGCUUCA
rnacentral:sRNA from 1 species